UCCUGGCUCAGAACGAACGCUGGCGGCAGGCUUAACACAUGCAAGUUGAACGGGAUUUGCUUGGUGCUUGCACUGAGCGAUGAGAGUAGCGCACUGGUGAGUAACACGUGGGAACAUGCCUUUUGGUGGGGACAACAGAGGGAAACUUCUGCUAAUACCGCAUAAGCCCUAAGGGGGAAAGAAUUUUUUGCCGAAAGAUUGGCCCGCGGAAGAUUAGGUAGUUGGUGGGGUAAAGGCCUACCAAGCCGACGAUCUAUAGCUGGUCUGAGAGGACGAACAGCCACAUUGGAACUGAGACACGGUCCAGACUCCUACGGGAGGCAGCAGUGAGGAAUAUUGGGCAAUGGAGGAAACUCUGACCCAAGCCAUGCCGCGUGAGUGAAGAAGGUUUUCGAAUUGUAAAGCUCUUUCGGAUACGAGGAUGAUGACGGUAGUAUCUAAAGAAGCCCCGGCAAACUUCGUGCCAGCAGCUGC
rnacentral:rRNA from 1 species